AAAAAAAGACCCCAAAAAUGGUUUUUUUAGGGGUUGUUUUGAUCCCCAAAGGACCCAGAAAAACCAAGGGGAAGAAAUCAAGGUCGCCUGACCCAAAUCUCCCCUCUUUCCCCCCCCAAAAUCCCCUCUUUCCCCAUUGGUUGCCUCCAUUUUGGCCCCGCCUCUGCUGUCGGGUAAAGCAAUAAAAUUCCUUUUCCUUUUUAUUUUUUAA